GGACUACUCGGGUUUCUAAUCCCGUUUGCUCCCCUGGCUUUCGUGCCUGAGCGUCAGGAACUGUCCAGAGACCCGCCUUCGCCACCGGUGUUCUGGUCGAUCUCUACGCAUUUCACCGCUACACCGACCAUUCCAGUCUCCUCUCCAGUCCUCAAGCCGGCUAGUUUCCAAUGACCGCUCACAGUUAGGCUGUGAGAUUUCACAUCGGACUUAACCGACCGCCUGCGCACCCUUUACGCCCAAUGAAUCCGAACAACGCUUGCAGUCUCUGUAUUACCGCGGCUGCUGGCAC
rnacentral:rRNA from 1 species